CUCACUUCCCUGCUUCCACACCUCAGGGAGGCCUCGGUGAUUUUGCCAGAGCCUCAGCCUCCAUCGCUCUGUAACCUGCGGGUAUUGGAUGAUUCGUAGCUAAGACUUCGCGACACCCUUGAAGCUGAGAAAUGGAACCCUUAACAUUCAGGGAUGUGGCCAUAGAAUUCUCUCCAGAAGAGUGGAAAUGCCUGGACCCUGCCCAGCAGAAUUUGUAUAGAGAUGUGAUGUUGGAGAACUACAGAAACCUGGUCUCCCUAGGUCUCUUGAUGGGAAGGACCAUUUCUGGACUACAGCUGAGAUUGAGAACUGCUUCAUAAUCCUCAGUAAGACCAAGCUGCAUGCACCAUUUUCUUGUCUGUAGCCAUGUCUAUGGGCUCUGGAGUUGGCCACCUGGGUGAGGGCCUGCUUUUUCCAAAUAACCCUUCCUUGGUCUUUGACUCCACUGAGGUUUCACAACCCUAACUAUAGGCAAGCACCAUUCUACUUAUGUUUUCUAGGAAUUUACUACUUAAAAUAUCUUAUGUAAGUGGAAUCAUACAUUGUCACUUUGUUAGUGUCUUAUUAAAUAAUGGUGUCUAAAUAGUGUCUUAUUAAAAUAAUGGCUUUAAGAUUU
rnacentral:lncRNA from 1 species